GCCGUCGGUGUGUAGUGCGUCAGAAAAAAUAUAAAAUAAACUUAUGAAAUAUAUUAAAAAACGAAACAAAGAGGAAAAAUAUAUUCCUUAUCGAUAAAUGAUCCAAGAUUGACUUUGAAAAUUUAACCAGUGAAGUAAUGACACUCAAAGCAUAUUUAUAGAUACAAUAACGGACAAAAAUCAAGAAACAUAUGACUAUCAAGUGAAGAGUUGAAGAGCCUGUGUUAAGCUUGUGAAUCUAUACGGCGUGGCUGUUCCUGUGUUACCUCCCAUGUGGUGAUCCUCCUGAGACGGACACCCAAACCUGCCUCAAGACAGGUGUGGAGAGCAGCAGCUAGGAAAA